rnacentral:rRNA from 1 species
CCUUAGUAGCGCAGCUAACGCGUGAAGUUGACCGCCUGGGGAGUACGGUCGCAAGAUUAAAACUCAAAGGAAUUGACGGGGACCCGCACAAGCGGUGGAUGAUGUGGAUUAAUUCGAUGCAACGCGAAAAACCUUACCUACCCUUGACAUGUCUGGAAAGCCGAAGAGAUUUGGCCGUGCUCGCAAGAGAACCGGAACACAGGUGCUGCAUGGCUGUCGUCAGCUCGUGUCGUGAGAUGUUGGGUUAAGUCCCGCAACGAGCGCAACCCUUGUCAUUAGUUGCUACGCAAGAGCACUCUAAUGAGACUGCCGGUGACAAACCGGAGGAAGGUGGGGAUGACGUCAAGUCCUCAUGGCCCUUAUGGGUAGGGCUUCACACGUCAUACAAUGGUCGGGACAGAGGGUCGCCAACCCGCGAGGGGGAGCCAAUCUCAGAAACCCGAUCGUAGUCCGGAUCGCAGUCUGCAACUCGACUGCGUGAAGUCGGAAUCGCUAGUAAUCGCGGAUCAGAAUGUCGCGGUGAAUACGUUCCCGGGUCUUGUACACACCGCCCGUCACACCAUGGGAGUGGGUUUCACCAGAAGUAGGUAGCCUAACCGCAAGGAGGGCGCUUACCACGGUGGGAU